UGGGGAAUCUUCCGCAAUGGACGAAAGUCUGACGGAGCAACGCCGCGUGAGUGAAGACGGCCUUCGGGUUGUAAAGCUCUGUUAUACGGGACGAACGGGCGAGGGGCUAAUACCCUCUUGUCGUGACGGUACCGUAAGAGAAAGCCACGGCUAACUACGUGCCAGCAGCCGCGGUAAUACGUAGGUGGCAAGCGUUGUCCGGAAUUAUUGGGCGUAAAGGGUGCGCAGGCGGUCUCUUAAGUCUGUCUUAAAAGUGCGGGGCUUAACCCCGUGAGGGGACGGAAACUGGGAGACUGGAGUAUCGGAGAGGAAAGCAGAAUUCCUAGUGUAGCGGUGAAAUGCGUAGAUAUUAGGAGGAAUACCAGUGGCGAAAGCGGCUUUCUGGACGACAACUGACGCUGAGGCACGAAAGCCAGGGGAGCAAACGGG
rnacentral:rRNA from 1 species